rnacentral:rRNA from 1 species
GACGUAGGGCGCGAGCGUUGUCCGGAAUUAUUGGGCGUAAAGAGCUCGUAGGCGGUGUGUCACGUCGGCCGUGAAAACCUGGGGCUUAACUCUGGGCGUGCGGUCGAUACGGGCAUCACUAGAGUUCGGCAGGGGAGACUGGAAUUCCUGGUGUAGCGGUGAAAUGCGCAGAUAUCAGGAGGAACACCAAUGGCGAAGGCAGCUCGCUGGGACGGUACUGACGCUGAGGCGCGAAAGCGUGGGGAGCAAACAGG